rnacentral:rRNA from 1 species
GACGAACGCUGGCGGCGUGCUUAACACAUGCAAGUCGAACGGAAAGGCCCUGCUUUUGUGGGGUGCUCGAGUGGCGAACGGGUGAGUAACACGUGAGUAACCUGCCCUUGACUUUGGGAUAACUUCAGGAAACUGGGGCUAAUACCGGAUAGGAGCUCCUGCUGCAUGGUGGGGGUUGGAAAGUUUCGGCGGUUGGGGAUGGACUCGCGGCUUAUCAGCUUGUUGGUGGGGUAGUGGCUUACCAAGGCUUUGACGGGUAGCCGGCCUGAGAGGGUGACCGGCCACAAUGGGACUGAGAUACGGCCGAGACUCCUACGGGAGGCAGCAGUGGGGAAUAUUGCACAAUGGGCGGAAGCGUGAUGCAGCAACGCCGCGUGCGGGAUGACGGCCUUCGGGUUGUAAACCGCUUUCGCCUGUGACGAAGCGUGAGUGACGGUAAUGGGUAAAGAAGCACCGGCUAACUACGUG